GGAGCUAACAAUACGAAGCUAUGUAGAGAAAAAAACUGAAACUGUGAUAGUUCCUGCUAUGGGAGCCAGUUUCGAUACGCUGGGGGAAGCUUACGACUACUACAAUCUAUAUUCAUGGGAGGUUGGGUUCGGAGUGAGAUACGGUAAGAGCCAUCUAAAUGUUGAGAGAACAAAAUGCAUGCAGGAGAUAGUUUGCACACACAAAAUGCAUGCAGGAUACGGUAAAAGAAAUUGUUCCAGCAAUUGCACACACAAGCGGGAAUGUUAGUGAUGCAGAAGG
rnacentral:rRNA from 1 species